rnacentral:rRNA from 1 species
UACGUAGGGCGCAAGCGUUAUCCGGAAUUAUUGGGCGUAAAGAGCUCGUAGGCGGUUUGUCGCGUCUGCCGUGAAAGUCCGGGGCUCAACUCCGGAUCUGCGGUGGGUACGGGCAGACUAGAGUGAUGUAGGGGAGACUGGAAUUCCCGGUGUAGCGGUGAAAUGCGCAGAUAUCGGGAGGAACACCAGUGGCGAAGGCGGCACUCUGGGCCGGAACUGACGCUGAGGAGCGAAAGCGUGGGGAGCGAACAGG